rnacentral:rRNA from 1 species
AGCUCUGUAAGCGUAUACCAAAGUUGUUGCAGUUAAAACGCUCGUAGUCGGACUUUGGCGCGACCCGCGCUGUGCACGUAAUGUGUGUGGCGCGGAGCGCGCUUUUGUGAAUGGCGGCACGUGGUGGCUUCACUGUCGUUGCGUGUCGGCGUCACCGUUUACUGUGAAAAAAUUAGAGUGUUCAAAGCAGGCGUUUGCCGUGAAUACAUUAGCAUGGAAUAAUAGAAUAGGACCUGGUUUCUAUUUUGUUGGUUUGAAAGAACCUGGUAAUGAUUAAGAGGGACGGUUGGGGGCAUUUGUAUUCCAGCGUCAGAGGUGAAAUUCUUGGAUUGCUGGAAGACAAACCGCUGCGAAAGCGUCUGCCAAGGACGUUUUCA